AUAAUCAUCCAUUUGUUUUUUAUUUUUAAAAGAAAACCUAAAAGCUAUUUCACUUUCCCUUUGCCUCUCUCUCUGCCUUGCGCCUCCCAGCCUUCUUUGUUUUUUUUUUUUAUCUCUUCCCUUUCCUUUCAAUCGUUCUUGACUUCUCUCUCCAAAGCGUUCAGUUCCUUGGCUCGCUAGAAUCUCGACGGCGUUACCUCCGACGACCUUGAUGAUGCCAUUCACAAUUAGGUAUUGGGAGGUGGCGGAUCUACAAUUUUCUCUUUCUCAAAAUUGCUAUAUCGCUCAACUCAUCUAUGUGCUCUCAAUUUCUCGCUCAAUUCAUCUCUGCUCUCAUGCUUUCCCUUAGUCAUGUCUCUGCUCUUACUCUCUAAUAUGACAACGCUAACCUCUGAAACCACAAACCCACCGAAGUCCCAACUCUCCUCCCUCUACAACAUUUGGUCUCAAAUCAGUCCAAAUUAUCAAUUUUUUAUGUUGCUAUGUUUGGGUUUCAGGCACAGUAAGCAAAUUGUUUCUCCCGACUCCUAAUUCUCCUUCAGGCUGUGAUUUUUGCAGAUUUUUGUUUUUUCAAUUUCUAUUUGGAGAGCAUAUGCAGAUAAGGAUUAUUUAUAAAGCAAAGACCAGAGAGUAUUGGGAUAUAUAAAGAUGUGGAUGGUGGUACAACAAAUAAUACGUGCAAGGCAAAUAAAAGCAACUAACUGAGAAUUGGAUGUUCACUUGGCGUUGUACUGCAGAAAGAGUGGGCAACUGAAAUCAGCAGCCCCAUUUGAACUUGUGCAACCAUAUAUGAAGAGGCAUCAUCCCCAUUCGAACUUCUGUAGCCAUGUAUGAAGAGGAGGAAGACACAAUUUUGAUGUGAUUUAUGUUGAUCAAGAUUGGUAUGAUUUGGGUGACUCCAACCGUGAAGGAAGUGUUAGGCUGGUAAUGGGCAUUACUUGGAGCUGCUAUGAGGAAAGUGAAGCUUCUAAGGGACAAAUUCCUUAUAAUUGAGACUUAAUUACUAGAUACCUUGUUUCUUUUUAGUAUGUUUAAUUUUAAAUUUAAUUCAUAUUGUAAUUGUAAUAAUAGUUAUAGACAACUUGAAUGUUGUAACAUUCAUUUUAUAUUAUUACAGUGAAUGUACAAUUUCCAGUCUUUUUCGGGAA